UGGGGGCUUCCGUCCACCGUGCCCCGGUAAUAGCAGUGAGCCCAGCCGCGGGGGUGCUGCACAGGGGCCUGCGGACCCACCAGCUCGUCCCUCUCCAGAUCCAAGAGGAACCUGCUGCCCCCCGCGUAGAGGAGGGAAGAGUCGGGAGCACAUGGAAGGAGAGCGCCACAAUCCUAAAACAACUGCUGCCCAGGAGGCGAAGAAGGGAGGCUCACACCCGGCGAGCGGGGAAGUUUGAGCACUUUCCGCUCUUCUUCCACUUCUCUCGUGGAGUCACUGCACCAUCCUCCCCAGCAGAGGCCGGGGGAUCCGCUACAGAUCGGCCCUUUCAGCAGCAAGUGCCUCGCCUUCCUUUGCCCCCUUUUGUUUGAAGAGAGGAGAAGAAACACACACGCCAAAAAAGGCUCGAUCGUCUCCGGUGAGAUGGUUAAAAUAAUAAUAACGAUAAUAAUAAUGCCCUGGAUUUUGUAAAACAGCUUCUCCCUUUCUAAUGCGGGUUGUUAUCCCCAGUCUGUCGAUGUGAACAAGAGGAGAAGGGAGAGAAAUGUGAAGAUGAGAGGAGGGACACAGAUCGCUGCAGGAGGUUUUCUAUGACAUUUGACUUUAGAAGUUGGGGAGAUUCAUGCCUCUCUUCUCAGGGCAGAAGCUGCCACAUUUACCGGGAGAACUCCCCCUAAGAAAGCCUACAAAGGAGAAUAAAAACUGCCAUAUAAAAAUGCUCUAGUAGUCUUCAUAGUUCAAUAGCAUAUUUACAACCAUGACUAAUACUGAAUGCUUCAGAGAGGGAAUAAACUCCAUACUGCACCUAUAUGUGCAAUAUCAUCACAAAACAUUUUUUCUGAUUCCAGUUGAUCAGCUUAUGCUGUAAAGAAUAAAGACAGAGAGACUUUUUCAUUUUAUUCUGGACAUUGUUACUGCUCUUAUUGUCUUUUUUAUGUUUUGAAUUUAUUUUUUAUUAAUUUAUGAUAAUGUAAUACUUUUACAUAAUUCCUUUCAUCCAGAAGUGCCUUACAAAUGAAUUGCAGUCCCUAUACACCUGGUUUGGAAUAGGACAAUUAUUAAACACCACACACAGUAAUAGUGCUCAAUAGUGCUCAAAAGAGGAAGUAAAAAAAAUUAGAGCUGAAUCUGACCCCUAGUCUUUAUAACCAGGGUCUGGCUUGCAAAUACUAAAGCCCCUGAAUAAUUUUAUUCAUGUGAGUAGUCCCACUGUGUAAUUCAUUGUAGGAUCAGACCUUGACAAUGGACUGUAAUAUUAGAAAGGUUUCAGAGUAACAGCCGUGUUAGUCUGUAUUCGCAAAAAGAAAAGGAGUACUUGUGGCACCUUAGAGACUAACCAAUUUGAGCAUAAGCUUUCGUGAGCUACAGCGCACUUCAUCGGAUGCAUACUGUGGAAAGUGUAGAAGAUCUUUUUAUAUACACACAAAGCAUGAAAAAAUACUUCCUCCCACCCCACUCACCUGCUGGUAAGAUAUUGCAUUGAAAAACUAAGUAUCAACUACUGGUUCAGUAGUAAUAAGGUGUACAAUGAGUCCAAUGGAACUACUCACACGCUAUUAACUCAACUCACUAUGUUACUCACAUGUUUCAAUGUUCUCAGGAUCAGGCUCAUUCAUUUCUUCUUUGAAGAGAUUACUGUGGUGAUGGCCUAUGACUUUUUUUUUUUUUUUUUUAAUGUCAUGAGUUGGUUUCUCUUUGUUUUUUCCUUUGGAGCAAUUGCUAUGACAUUAGUUUAAUAUGCGCUUGAUAAUAAGUCCUUUACUUUGGUUGUGAUAAGAAGUUUAAUAUAUUAAAAUCCAUUUCUGGAUUGGUCAAUAAAUACAGAAAGUUUUCACGCU